AGAGUUUGAUCCUGGCUCAGAACGAACGCUGGCGGCGUGCUUAACACAUGCAAGUCGAGUGCGCGUCUGUAGCAAUACAGAUGGCGCACGGCGCACGGGUGCGUAACACGUGGGCAAUCUGCCCUUCGAUGGGGAAUAACUCCGGGAAACCGAAGCUAAUUCCGCAUAACAUUCCUUGGACUUCGGUUCGAGGAUUCAAAGCCGUAAGGCGUCGAAGGAGGAGCCCGCGCCCGAUUAGCUAGUUGGUGAGGUAACGGCUCACCAAGGCAAUGAUCGGUAGCUGGUCUGAGAGGAUGGCCAGCCACACUGGAACUGAGACACGGUCCAGACUCCUACGGGAGGCAGCAGUGGGGAAUCUUGCGCAAUGGGCGAAAGCCUGACGCAGCGACGCCGCGUGGGGGAUGAAGCAUUUCGGUGUGUAAACCCCUUUCGACUGGGACGAAUGCCUCGCAAGAGGAGUGACGGUACCAGUAGAAGAAGCCCCGGCUAACUACGUGCCAGCAGCCGCGGUAAGACGUAGGGGGCCAGCGUUGUUCGGAAUUACUGGGUGUAAAGGGUUCGUAGGCGGUGUGGCAAGUCGGGAGUGAAAUCUAUGGGCUUAACUCAUAGGCUGCUUCCGAAACUGCUGUGCUUGAGUGUGGGAGAGGCGCGUGGAAUUGCAGGUGUAGCGGUGAAAUGCGUAGAUAUCUGCAGGAACACCCGUGGCGAAAGCGGCGCGCUGGACCACAACUGACGCUGAGGAACGAAAGCUAGGGGAGCAAACAGGAUUAGAUACCCUGGUAGUCCUAGCCCUAAACGAUCAGGACUUGGGGUGCCACCCGUUCGGGUGUCGUCCCGGAGCUAACGCGUUAAGUCCUGCACCUGGGGAGUACGGUCGCAAGACUGAAACUCAAGGAAUUGACG
rnacentral:rRNA from 1 species